rnacentral:rRNA from 1 species
UACAGAGGGUGCAAGCGUUGUUCGGAAUUAUUGGGCGUAAAGGGCGCGUAGGCGGUUCGGCAAGUCUCUAGUGAAAUCUCAGGGCUCAACUCUGAGUCUGCUGGGGAAACUGCCGGGCUUGAGUGUGGGAGAGGAGAGUGGAAUUCCCGGUGUAGCGGUGAAAUGCGUAGAUAUCUGGAGGAAUACCGGUGGCGAAGGCGGCAUCCUGGACCAUUACUGACGCUGAAUCGCGAAAGCUAGGGGAGCAAACGGG